AUAAUAAUUUGUUCUUUAAUUUAGGACUAGAAUGAAUGAUUUGACGAGAUUAAAGCUGUCUUAUAAUUAUUAAUUAUUGAAUUUAAUUUUUAAGUUAAAAAGCUUAAAUUUUAUUAGAGGACGAGAAGACCCUAUAGAGUUUUAUAAUUAAAUUAAUUUAAUUAAUUAAUUAUUUUUAUAAAAUUAAUAUAAUUAUUUUGUUGGGGUGAUAAUUAAAUUUAAUAAACUUUUUAUUUAAUUUUACAUUAAUUAAUGAAUUUUUGAUCCUAUUUUUUAGAUUAAUAGAUUAAAUUACCUUAGGGAUAACAGCGUUAUUUUUUUUAAAGUUCUUAUUGACAUAAAAAAUUGC
rnacentral:rRNA from 1 species